AAGUCGUAACAAGGUCUCCGUAGGUGAACCUGCGGAGGGAUCAUUACCGAGUGAGGGUCUCUGACCCAACCUCCAACCCUUUGUCGAUGAAUAUCAGUUGCCUUGGGGGGCGACCCGGCUCGCGCCGGCCAGUCCCCAAUGGUCUCACAACACUGCAUCUUUGCGUCGAAGUAUUGAAUGAAUCAAUCAAAA
rnacentral:misc_RNA from 1 species